GUCAGGAUGGCCGAGCGGUCUAAGGCGCCAGACUCAAGGAUUACGCCUUCCCUUGGUUAAAGGAGGUUUCUGGUCUCUGAGUGGGAGGCGUGGGUUCAAAUCCCACUCCUGACA